rnacentral:rRNA from 1 species
GAUGAACGCUGGCGGCAUGCCUAACACAUGCAAGUCGGACGGGAAGUGGUGUUUCGAGUGGCGGUUGGGUGAGGAACGCGUAAGUACUUGCCCUGGGGAGGGGAACAACAGCGGGAAACGGCUGCUAAUAGCCCGUAGGCUGAGGAGCAAAAGGGGGAAUCAGACCGAGGAGGGGCUUGCGUCUGAUUAGCUAGAUGGUGAGGCAGUAGCUUACCAAGGCGAUGAGCUAUAGCUGUUCCGAGAGGAUGAUCAGCCACACUGGGACGGAGACACGGGCCAGGCACCUGCGGGAGGCGGCAGAAGGCAAUUUGCCGCAAUGCGCGAGAGCCUAAGAGGGCAAUGGCGCGUGAAAGUAGAAGGACCACGGAUCGUGAACUGCUUUUCCCGGAGAUGAAGAAAUGACGGUAUCUAGGGAAUAAGCAUCGGCUAACUCUGUG